rnacentral:rRNA from 1 species
CUACGGGACGCACCAGUAGGGAAUCUUCCACAAUGGGCGAAAGCCUGAUGGAGCAACACCGCGUGAUCGAUGAAGGCCUAACGGUUGUAAAGAUCUUUUCUGAGAGAAGAAUUCUGACGGUAUCUCAGGAAUAAGCGACUGCUAACUACGUGCCAGCAGCAGCGGUAAUACGUAGGUCGCAAACGUUAUCCGGAAUGAUUGGGCGUAAAGCGUCCGCAGGCGGCGAAAUCAGUCGGAUGUUAAAUAUUAUAGCUUAACUAUGAUGCUGCAUCCGAUACUGUUUUGCUAGAGACAUUUCAGAGGCAAGUGGAAUUCUGUGUGUAGGGGUAAAAUCCGUAGAUACACAGAGGAACACCAAAAGCGAAGGCAGCUUGCUGGGAAUGUUCUGACGCUCAUGGACGAAAGCGUAGGUAGCGAACGGGAUUAGAUACCCCCGUAGUC